GAUGAACGCUGGCGGCGUGCCUAAUACAUGCAAGUCGAGCGAACAGACGAGGAGCUUGCUCCUCUGACGUUAGCGGCGGACGGGUGAGUAACACGGGGAUAACCUACCUAUAAGACUGGGAUAACUUCGGGAAACCGGAGCUAAUACCGGAUAAUAUAUUGAACCGCAUGGUUCAAUAGUGAAAGACGGGUAUGCUGUCACUUAUAGAUGGAUCCGCGCCGCAUUAGCUAGUUGGUAAGGUAACGGCUUACCAAGGCAACGAUGCGUAGCCGACCUGAGAGGGUGAUCGGCCACACUGGAACUGAGACACGGUCCAGACUCCUACGGGAGGCAGCAGUACGGACUCUUACGCCAUGGGCGAAAGCCUGACGGAGCAACGCCGCGUGAGUGAUGAAGGUCUUCGGAUCGUAAAACUCUGUUAUUAGGGAAGAACAAAUGUGUAAGUAACUAUGCACGUCUUGACGGUACCUAAUCAGAAAGCCACGGCUAACUCCGUG
rnacentral:rRNA from 1 species